CCUACGGGAGGCAGCAGUGAGGAAUAUUGGUCAAUGGACGAGAGUCUGAACCAGCCAAGUAGCGUGAAGGAUGACUGCCCUAUGGGUGGUAAACUUCUUUUAUAUGGAAAUAAAAUGUUCCACGUGUGGGCUUUUGUAUGUACCAUAUGAAUAAGGAUCGGCUAGCUCCAUGCCAGCAGACGCGGUGAUACGGAGGGUCCGAUCGUUAUCCGGAUUUAUUGGGUUGAAAGGGAGCGUAGGGGGGUUGUUAAGUCAGUUGUGAAAGUUUGCGGCUCAACCGUAAAAUUGCAGUUGAAACUGGCAGUCUUGAGUACAGUAGAGGGGGGCGGAAUUCGUGGUGUAGCGGUGAAAUGCUUAGAUAUCACGAAGAACUCCGAUUGCGAAGGCAGUUCACUGGACUGCAACUGACGCUGAGGCUCGAAAGUGUGGGUAUCAAACAGGAUUAGAUACCCGGGUAGUC
rnacentral:rRNA from 1 species